rnacentral:rRNA from 1 species
UACGAAGGGGACUAGCGUUGUUCGGAUUUACUGGGCGUAAAGCGCGCGUAGGCGGAUCGCUAAGUCAGGGGUGAAAUCCCAGGGCUCAACCCUGGAACUGCCUUUGAUACUGACGAUCUGGAGAUCGGGAGAGGUUGGUGGAAUUCCGAGUGUAGAGGUGAAAUUCGUAGAUAUUCGGAGGAACACCAGAAGCGAAGGCGGCCAUCUGGACCAGCACUGACGCUGAGGCACGAAAGCGUGGGGAGCAAACAGG